rnacentral:rRNA from 1 species
UGUCCUGCCAGUUGUCAUAUGCUUAUUUCAAGGGUUAAGCCAUGCAAGUGUCAGUGGACUCGGGGUAACUCGGGGGGACUGUGUACGGCUCAUUAAACGGUUAAUAGUCUACCCAACAGAAUGACUUUUCGGGGUCAUCAACGGGAUAACUGCUCCGAAAUGGGCAGCUAAUACCUGGUAGAACGAUCUAUCGACAUUUCACCGAACCGGGAGAAAUCCCGGCGAGGGUCGGUGGAUGCGAUUGGCCGGAACAAAGACCAACGCCUUUAUCGGCAGUUGUAAUUGUUGACGCAGGCCAAUGUAGCAGAAGCGCUGUAUGGCGCGUUGUUGGACGAAUUCACCACCUAUCAGGUUGAAGGUAGUGUAGUGGACUACCUUGCCAUUGACGGGUAACGGGGGAUUGGGGUUCGAUUCCGGAGAGGGUGCCUGAGAAAUGGCAACCAUGACUACGGUCAGCAGCAGGCGCGCAAAUUGCCCAAUGCUAACAAACAGCGAGGCAGCGACGAAAAAUAGCAUCAAUGCGAUCCUAUUGGGUCACAUUAUGCAAUGGACUGUAUCUAGUAAACACUGUUGAGUAACUAUUGGAGGGCAAGUCUGGUGCCAGCAGCCGCGGUAAUUCCAGCUCCAAGAGCGUAUAUAAACGUUGUUGCGGUUAAAAAGCCCGUAGUUGGAUUUGAGGGCAUGGUUUGUUGAGUUAUCAACUUCUAACCCGCAAGGGGAGGAAGGCGAUCUCAACGUGUUUCCAUGCUCUGAGACAUGCGGGAAUGUCCACUGGCCGAAGGGUCCUUCGUUGGAUCUGGAAGCAACUUCGGAGAGCUUAUACUCCACCAGGUGCGCCCGCAGACGUCACUGUGAAUAAACCAGAGUGUUCCAGGCAACCUAUUGUGGUUGAAUGUUAAAGCAUGGAAUGACAAGGGAUCGACCUACGGGCCUCUUUUUGUUGGUUCUUUAAGCUUCGGUAGGAGAAUCCGGAAUCUUCCGGGGUGGUGUCGAUUUCGACGCAAACCUGGGGAUUCCUCGGGAUCAAUAGGAGCACAGGGGGCUAUGGGUACUCGUGGGCUAGUGGUGAAAUACAGUGACCCCACGGAGACCGACAUCAGCGAAAGCACUUAGCUAUUGUGCUUUCAUUAAUCAAGGACGAGAGAUCGGGGAUUGAAGAGGAUUAGACACCCUCGUAAUCCGUUCUGUAAAUUCUGCAGACUUGGGAUCGGUCACACUUUUUCAGGUGUGAUCGGCACCUUCUUUCCCUAUCGAGAAAUCAAAGUUUUUGUGUUCCGGGGGGAGUACAUUCGCAAGGCUGAAACUUAAAGGAAUUGACGGAGAACCACCACCAGUCGUGGAGUGUGUGGCUUAAUUCGACUCAACACGGGAAAUUUUACCAGGCCAGGAUGUGGUGAGGAUUGCCAGAUUGAUAGCUCUUGCAUGAUUCCACAAAGGUUGGUGCAUGGCCGCUUCUGGUUGGUGAAGUAAUUUGUCUGCUUAAUUGCGAUAACGAACGAGAUCUCUGCCAAUUACUAGACUGCUGUGUCGAUGUCGGUUGUCGCGGCAGUGCUCUCGGGCCUGUUCUUGCGACGCCAAGACGCAGUGUGUUACUUAUUGGGAUUAUGCGUUCUCAAGCGCAUUGAAACAAGAGCCCAAAGCAGGUCCGUGAUGCUACUACAUGUUCUGGGCUGCACGCGCACUACACUGAUUCAGCCAUCAAGUUUCUGCAUUGCGCAGCCUGACCCGAAGGGGUUGGGGAAUCUUUUGAGCCUGAGUCGUGAUGGGGAUUGAUGAUUGUAAUUAUUCUCCAUGAACGAGGAAUGUCUUGUAGCCGCGUUUCAUCAGAACGCAGCGAAUACGUCCCUGGUUCUUGUACACACCGCCCGUCGUUGCCUGUGAUGGAUUGCGAGUAGAGCCAUCAGGAGGUUGGUCGUGGGGCGACUCACGGCUCGCCAAAUUUUGGCAAUACUCUCAAUCUAGAAGAGGCAAAAGUCGUAACAAGGU